rnacentral:rRNA from 1 species
CACAAGCAGCGGAGCGUGUGGUUUAAUUCGUUGCUACACGAAGAACCUUACCUGGUUUGACAUAUAGGUUGUAGGGAACUGAAAAGGGACCGACCCUUCGGGGAGCCUAUACAGGUGUUGCAUGGCUGUCGUCAGCUCGUGUCGUGAGAUGUUCGGUUAAGUCCGCUAACGAGCGCAACCCUCGUCGUAUGUUAUAUGUGUCAUUCGAGACUGCCGGUAAAAAGCCGGAGGAAGGUGAGGAUGAUGUCAAGUCAGCAUGACCUUUAUAUCCAGGGCUACACACACGCUACAAUGGUCUGUACAAUGGGUAGCCAAGCCGCGAGGUGGAGCGAAUCCCAGAAAAACCUGUCUCAGUCCGGAUUGAAGUCUGCAACUCGACUUCAUGAAGGCGGAAUCGCUAGUAACCGCGAAUCAGCAGGUCGCGGUGAAUACGUUCCCGGGCCUU